GGUUAAGUUAGAAAGGGCGCACGGUGGAUGCCUUGGCACUAGGAGCCGAAGAAGGACGGGACUAACACCGAUAUGCUUUGGGGAGCUGUACGUAAGCGUUGAUCCAGAGAUUUCCGAAUGGGGGAACCCACUAUCUUUAGUCGGAUAGUAUCCUUACGUGAAUACAUAGCGUGAGGAAGGCAGACCCAGGGAACUGAAACAUCUAAGUACCUGGAGGAAGAGAAAGAAAAAUCGAUUUCCUGAGUAGCGGCGAGCGAAACGGAAAGAGCCCAAACCAAGAAGCUUGCUUCUUGGGGUUGUAGGACACUCUAUACGGAGUUACAAAAGAAAGUUAUAAAUGAAGCGGUCUGGAAAGGCCCGCCAAAGACGGUAACAGCCCGGUAGUUGAAAUGGCUUUCCCUCCAGAGUGGAUCCUGAGUACGGCGGAACACGUGAAAUUCCGUCGGAAUCCGGGAGGACCAUCUCCCAAGGCUAAAUACUCCCUAGUGACCGAUAGUGAACCAGUACCGUGAGGGAAAGGUGAAAAGCACCCCGGAAGGGGAGUGAAACAGUUCCUGAAACCGUGUGCCUACAAGUAGUUAGAGCCCGUUAAUGGGUGAUAGCGUGCCUUUUGUAGAAUGAACCGGCGAGUUACGAUUUGUUGCAAGGUUAAGCGGAAAAAGCGGAGCCGUAGCGAAAGCGAGUCUGAAUAGGGCGCAUAAGUAACAGGUCGUAGACCCGAAACCAGGUGAUCUACCCAUGUCCAGGAUGAAGGUAAGGUAAUACUUACUGGAGGUCCGAACCCACGCACGUUGAAAAGUGCGGGGAUGAGGUGUGGGUAGCG
rnacentral:rRNA from 1 species